CAAAUUUGAAAUCUGGCUUCGGCCCGAGUUGUAAUUUGUAGAGGAAGCUUUUGGCGAGGCACCGACUGAGUCCCCUGGAACGGGGCGCCAUAGAGGGUGAGAGCCCCGUAUAGUCGGACGCUGAGCCUCUGUAAAGCUCCUUCGACGAGUCGAGUAGUUUGGGAAUGCUGCUCAAAAUGGGAGGUAAAUUUCUUCUAAAGCUAAAUAUUGGCCAGAGACCGAUAGCGCACAAGUAGAGUGAUCGAAAGAUGAAAAGCACUUUGAAAAGAGGGUUAAAUAGCACGUGAAAUUGUUGAAAGGGAAGCGCUUGUGACCAGACUUGCGCCUGGCCGAUCAUCCGGGGUUCUCCCCGGUGCACUCGGCCAGGCUCAGGCCAGCAUCGGUUCUCUUGGGGGGACAAAGGUCCCGGGAACGU
rnacentral:rRNA from 1 species